UACCUGGUUGAUCCUGCCAGUAAUCAUAUGCUUGUCUCAAAGAUUAAGCCAUGCAUGUCUAAGUACAUGCCGAAAUAAGGCGAAACCGUGAAUGGCUCAAUAAAUCAGUUAUGGUUGCUUAGAUCGUUUCUUCCUACUUGGAUAACUGUGGCAAUUCUAGAGCUAAUACAUGCAGUGAACCUGAAGCCCUUUGGGCGACGGGUGCUUUUAUUAGACCAAGAUCGAUCGGGUUUCGGCCCGUAUUGUGUGGUGACUCUGGAUAACUUUGUGCUGAUCGCAUGGCCACGAGCCGGCGACGUUUCUUUCAAGUGUCUGCCUUAUCAACUUUCGAUGGUAGGUUACUUGCUUAACAUGGUUGUUACGGGUAACGGAGAAUCAGGGUUCGAUUCCGGAGAGGGAGCCUGAGAAACGGCUACCACAUCCAAGGAAGGCAACAGGCGCGCAAAUUACCCACUCCCGGCACGGGGAGGUAGUGACGAAAAAUAACAAUACGGGACUCUUUUGAGGCCCCGUAAUUGAAAUGAGUACACUCUAAAUCCUUUAACGAGGAUCAAUUGGAGGGCAAGUCUGGUGCCAGCAGCCGCGGUAUUUCCAGCUCCAAUAGCGUAUACUAAAGCUGCUGCGGUUAAAAAGCUCGUAGUUGGAUCUCAGUUCCAGACGAGUAGUGCAUCUACCCGAUGCGACGGCUCGGACUGAACAUCAUGCCGGUCCUUUCUUGGUGCACUUCAUUGUGUGCCUCGAGAAGUCCGGUGCUUUUACUUUGAAAAAAUUAGAGUGCUCAACGCAGGCGAGUCGCCUGAAUAAACUUGCAUGGAAUAAUAGAACAAGACCUCGUUUCUGUUCUGUUGGUUUUUGGAAUACGAGGUAAUGAUUAAGAGGGACAGACGGGGGCAUUCGUAUUGCGGCGCCAGAGGUGAAAUUCUUGGACCGUCGCAAGACGACCUACUGCGAAAGCAUUUGCCAAGAAUGUUUUCUUUGAUCAAGAACGAAACUCAGAGGUUCGAAGGCUAUCAGAUACCGCCCUAGUUCUGACCAUAAACGAUGCCAACCAGCGAUCCGCCUGAGUUACUCAAAUGACUCGGCGGGCAGCUUCCGGGAAACCAAAGUGUUUGGGUUCCGGGGGAAGUAUGGUUGCAAAGCUGAAACUUAAAGGAAUUGACGGAAGGGCACCACCAGGAGUGGAGCCUGCGGCUUAAUUUGACUCAACACGGGAAAACUUACCCGGCCCGGACACUGGGAGGAUUGACAGAUUGAGAGCUCUUUCUUGAUUCGGUGGAUGGUGGUGCAUGGCCGUUCUUAGUUGGUGGAGCGAUUUGUCUGGUUAAUUCCGAUAACGAACGAGACUCUAGCCUAUUAAAUAGGUGCGGGGUUCCCAGCACCUUACAACCUUCUUAGAGGGACAAGCGGCUCCUAGCCGCACGAAACAGAGCAAUAACAGGUCUGUGAUGCCCUUAGAUGUCCGGGGCCGCACGCGCGCUACACUGAAGGAAGCAGCGUGUCUUUAUCCCUGUCUGAAAAGACUGGGUAACCCGUGGAACUUCUUUGGUGAUUGGGAUAGGGGCUUGCAAUUGUUCCCCUUGAACGAGGAAUUUCCUGUAAGCGCGAGUCAUAAGCUCGCGUUGAUUACGUCCCUGCCCUUUGUACACACCGCCCGUCGCUACUACCGAUUGAAUGAUUUAGUGAGGUCUUCGGACCGAUCUCCGGCGCGGCCUUUCGGUUGCGCCGGUCUGUUGGAAAGAGGACCAAACUUGAUCAUUUAGAGGAAGUAAAAGUCGUAACAAGGUUUCCGUAGGUGAACCUGCGGAAGGAUCAUUA
rnacentral:rRNA from 1 species